UGAAAACCGGUCUCAGUUCGGAUCGCAGUCUGCAACUCGACUGCGUGAAGGUGGAGUCGCUAGUAAUCGCGGAUCAGCAACGCCGCGGUGAAUGCGUUCCCGGGCCUUGUACACACCGCCCGUCAAGUCAUGAAAGUGGGCAGCACCCGAAGACGGUGGCCUAACCCUUGUGGGGGGAGCCGUCUAAGGUGAGGCUCGUGAUUGGGACUAAGUCGUAACAAGGUAAC
rnacentral:rRNA from 1 species